UGGGGAAUUUUGGACAAUGGGCGAAAGCCUGAUCCAGCAAUGCCGCGUGUGUGAAGAAGGCCUUCGGGUUGUAAAGCACUUUUGUCCGGAAAGAAAUCCUUGGCUCUAAUACAGUCGGGGGAUGACGGUACCGGAAGAAUAAGCACCGGCUAACUACGUGCCAGCAGCCGCGGUAAUACGUAGGGUGCAAGCGUUAAUCGGAAUUACUGGGCGUAAAGCGUGCGCAGGCGGUUUGCUAAGACCGAUGUGAAAUCCCCGGGCUCAACCUGGGAACUGCAUUGGUGACUGGCAGGCUAGAGUAUGGCAGAGGGGGGUAGAAUUCCACGUGUAGCAGUGAAAUGCGUAGAGAUGUGGAGGAAUACCGAUGGCGAAGGCAGCCCCCUGGGCCAAUACUGACGCUCAUGCACGAAAAGCGUGGGGAGCAAACAGGAUUAGAUACCCUGGUAGUCCACGCCCUAAAACGAUGUCAACUAGUUGUUGGGGAUUCAUUUCCUUAGUAACGUAGCUAACGCGUGAAGUUGACCGCCUGGGGGAGUACGGUCGCAAGAUUAAAAACUCAAAUGAAUUGACGGGGUCAUAGCUGUUUCCU
rnacentral:rRNA from 1 species